UCCCUGGUGGUCCAGUGGUUAGGACUCGGCACUUCCACUGCCAGGAUCCCAGGUUCAGUCCCUGGUCAGGGAA